rnacentral:rRNA from 1 species
UACGGAGGGUGCAAGCGUUAAUCGGAAUUACUGGGCGUAAAGGGUGCGUAGGUGGUCUAAUAAGUUAUCUGUGAAAACCCCGGGCUUAACCUGGGAAGGUCAGAUAAAACUGUAAGACUCGAGUAUAGUAGAGGGUAGUGGAAUUUCCGGUGUAGCGGUGAAAUGCGUAGAGAUCGGAAAGAACACCAGUGGCGAAGGCGGCUACCUGGACUAAUACUGACACUGAGGCACGAAAGCGUGGGGAGCAAACAGG